rnacentral:snRNA from 1 species
GGAUGUGGGGGUGAUCUGGCUGGCGGGGCGGGUGUCCUCUUCUUCCCUCACCACUCCAUGUGAGUCUGUCCUGAAACUGCAUGUUCUGUCAAAGAGGACAAACUUCCCCAAAUAGAGAUGGAUUGGUCUUUGGUCGAGGGUCUAUGUACGUACGAGUAGCUGCUCUCACCUGCUAGAAUGUCCAAACAAGAUCUCAAGGUCCCUUCAGAUGGAGAUACAGGAGGAGAGACACCCAGCUACCAGGACUUCCUUUGGUGCCAUGUGGUACCAGGA